rnacentral:rRNA from 1 species
AGGUAGUGACAAGAAAUAACAAUACAGGGCUUAUAGUCUUGUAAUUGGAAUGAUGGGGACCUAAACCCUUCCCAGAGUAUCAAUUGGAGGGCAAGUCUGGUGCCAGCAGCCGCGGUAAUUCCAGCUCCAAUAGCGUAUAUUAAAGUUGUUGCAGUUAAGAAGCUCGUAGUUGAAUUUCUGCCUCGCCUUUGGUUUCGCUUUUAUGCGUUUUCCGACUGGCUUGGCAUAUUUCUGGAUUUGUGUAGCUUCGGCUUCUCUUUUCCAGUUUUUACUUUGAGAAAACUAGAGUGUUUCAAACAGGCCUUUUGCCUUGAAUACUACAGCAUGGAAUAAUAAAGUAGGACUUUGGUUCUAUUUUGUUGGUUUUCGAACCAUAGUAAUGGUUAAUAGGAGCA